rnacentral:lncRNA from 1 species
UUCACCUGGGGAGACAAUGUUGCCAGUGAGUGUCCUGGUUGCCUCUCUAUUCCAGCUCUUUGUCCUGGGCAGAGCUUGCUGCACCUUCCAGUUCCAGUAAUCAAGGAAGUGGAGUCCCUGCAAUUCUUCAAGGAACCUUGAGAACUCAGGAGGUCCUGGGGUGGCUGCAUCAAUCCUGCGGACCAAUGCCAGUCAGCAGAGGGGUCAUUCCCAGGGCCACAUGGCUGGCUGAGUUGGGCCUUGGCCAGAAUUGUUAAAAUAUGAAGACAUAUAAUCUCGGAAUCAAGGAAAAGAUGGCAACGGAAAACCAAGUAUUCAUGUUGCUUCCCAGGAAGAUGACGGGCUGAACAAAGGAGCUGGGAAGUCAGGUUUGUACCUGCACGGUGUAGGGUCAUCACUUAGCUCCAUGUGCCUCCUCUGAGGGCACGGGUGUAUAUGUUUGUGGUUGAUUGCUUUGAUAUAUUCCAUUUCAGUUUUAAAACACCCUGAGGCAACAGUGACCAAACUACUUUUAUCCAUUCACAAACAUACGAAAACCAAAUGUGGAUCUAGGAAAAGAGAUUGUUAAAUAAAUUAAUUUUUGCUACUACUACUCGUAUUUUUUAAAAAAAUAGCGCUGAAACCAAACCAA